CUCCGUUCCCCAAUAUCUGCCAUAGAUCCUUACCCUAGAGCCAUGCACAUCAGGGGUUGGUUGAACACCUGAAGUCUUUGAUCAUCAUUUACACUCCUGGGCAUCAAGUCUAUGCUACCAAAAGAAAUCCCAAUGGGAAAAAGCCAUCUCCUAGCUUUUUGAGUAGCAAAAUUAUCUAGGAGCUCAUAACCUUUCCAUUUCCAUAGCUGAAAUCUGCCUGACAUUCUCCACUUGGAGUUGAAGUCCAGUUUGAUUGAGGUGGGGUAAGUGCUUCAUUUUCUAAAAAUGGACUGGUUUGAAUCCCAGUGUGGUCUAA
rnacentral:lncRNA from 1 species